UUAAGUUAGAAAGGGCGCACGGUGGAUGCCUUGGCACUAGGAGCCGAUGAAGGACGGGACGAACACCGAUAUGCUUCGGGGAGCUGUAAGCAAGCUUUGAUCCGGAGAUUUCCGAAUGGGGAAACCCACCACUCGUAAUGGAGUGGUAUCCAUAUCUGAAUACAUAGGAUAUGAGAAGGCAGACCCGGGGAACUGAAACAUCUAAGUACCCGGAGGAAGAGAAAGCAAAUGCGAUUCCCUGAGUAGCGGCGAGCGAAACGGGACCAGCCCAAACCAAGAGGCUUGCCUCUUGGGGUUGUAGGACACUCUGUACGGAGUUACAAAGGAACGAGGUAGAUGAAGAGGUCUGGAAAGGCCCGCCAUAGAAGGUAACAGCCCUGUAGUCAAAACUUCGUUCUCUCCUGAGUGGAUCCUGAGUACGGCGGAACACGUGAAAUUCCGUCGGAAUCCGGGAGGACCAUCUCCCAAGGCUAAAUACUCCCUAGUGACCGAUAGUGAACCAGUACCGUGAGGGAAAGGUGAAAAGCACCCCGGAAGGGGAGUGAAAGAGAUCCUGAAACCGUGUGCCUACAAGUAGUCAGAGCCCGUUAAUGGGUGAUGGCGUGCCUUUUGUAGAAUGAACCGGCGAGUUACGAUCCCGUGCAAGGUUAAGCAGAAGAUGCGGAGCCGCAGCGAAAGCGAGUCUGAAUAGGGCGAAUUGAGUACGUGGUCGUAGACCCGAAACCAGGUGAUCUACCCAUGUCCAGGGUGAAGUUCAGGUAACACUGAAUGGAGGCCCGAACCCACGCACGUUGAAAAGUGCGGGGAUGAGGUGUGGGUAGGGGUGAAAUGCCAAUCGAACCUGGAGAUAGCUGGUUCUCUCCGAAAUAGCUUUAGGGCUAGCCUCAAGGUAAGAGUCUCGGAGGUAGAGCACUGAUUGGACUAGGGGCCCCUACCGGGUUACCGAAUUCAGUCAAACUCCGAAUGCCGAUGACUUAUCCUUGGGAGUCAGACUGCGAGUGAUAAGAUCCGUAGUCGAAAGGGAAACAGCCCAGACCGCCAGCUAAGGUCCCAAAGUAUACGUUAAGUGGAAAAGGAUGUGGAGUUGCUUAGACAACCAGGAUGUUGGCUUAGAAGCAGCCACCAUUUAAAGAGUGCGUAAUAGCUCACUGGUCGAGUGACUCUGCGCCGAAAAUGUACCGGGGCUAAACGUAUCACCGAAGCUGCGGACUGUUCUUCGAACAGUGGUAGGAGAGCGUUCUAAGGGCUGUGAAGCAAGACCGGAAGGACUUGUGGAGCGCUUAGAAGUGAGAAUGCCGGUAUGAGUAGCGAAAGAGGGGUGAGAAUCCCCUCCACCGAAUGCCUAAGGUUUCCUGAGGAAGGCUCGUCCGCUCAGGGUUAGUCGGGACCUAAGCCGAGGCCGAAAGGCGUAGGCGAUGGAUAACAGGUUGAUAUUCCUGUACCACCUCCUCACCAUUUGAGCAAUGGGGGGACGCAGGAGGAUAGGGUAAGCGCGGUAUUGGAUAUCCGCGUCCAAGCAGUUAGGCUGGGAAAUAGGCAAAUCCGUUUCCCGUGAAGGCUGAGCUGUGAUGGCGAGCGAAUUAUAGUAGCGAAGUUCCUGAUUCCACACUGCCAAGAAAAGCCUCUAGCGAGGUGAGAGGUGCCCGUACCGCAAACCGACACAGGUAGGCGAGGAGAGAAUCCUAAGGUGAUCGAGAGAACUCUCGUUAAGGAACUCGGCAAAAUGACCCCGUAACUUCGGGAGAAGGGGUGCUCUGUUAGGGUGCAAGCCCGAGAGAGCCGCAGUGAAUAGGCCCAGGCGACUGUUUAGCAAAAACACAGGUCUCUGCGAAGCCGUAAGGCGAAGUAUAGGGGCUGACGCCUGCCCGGUGCUGGAAGGUUAAGAGGAGCGCUUAGCGUAAGCGAAGGUGCGAAUUGAAGCCCCAGUAAACGGCGGCCGUAACUAUAACGGUCCUAAGGUAGCGAAAUUCCUUGUCGGGUAAGUUCCGACCCGCACGAAAGGCGCAACGAUCUGGGCACUGUCUCAACGAGAGACUCGGUGAAAUUAUAGUACCUGUGAAGAUGCAGGUUACCCGCGACAGGACGGAAAGACCCCGUGGAGCUUUACUGCAGCCUGAUAUUGAAUGUUGGUACAGCUUGUACAGGAUAGGUAGGAGCCUUGGAAACCGGAGCGCCAGCUUCGGUGGAGGCAUCGGUGGGAUACUACCCUGGCUGUAUUGACCUUCUAACCCGCCGCCCUUAUCGGGCAGGGAGACAGUGUCAGGUGGGCAGUUUGACUGGGGCGGUCGCCUCCUAAAAGGUAACGGAGGCGCCCAAAGGUUCCCUCAGAAUGGUUGGAAAUCAUUCGCAGAGUGUAAAGGCACAAGGGAGCUUGACUGCGAGACCUACAAGUCGAGCAGGGACGAAAGUCGGGCUUAGUGAUCCGGUGGUUCCGCAUGGAAGGGCCAUCGCUCAACGGAUAAAAGCUACCCCGGGGAUAACAGGCUUAUCUCCCCCAAGAGUCCACAUCGACGGGGAGGUUUGGCACCUCGAUGUCGGCUCAUCGCAUCCUGGGGCUGUAGUCGGUCCCAAGGGUUGGGCUGUUCGCCCAUUAAAGCGGUACGCGAGCUGGGUUCAGAACGUCGUGAGACAGUUCGGUCCCUAUCCGUCGCGGGCGCAGGAAAUUUGAGAGGAGCUGUCCUUAGUACGAGAGGACCGGGAUGGACGCACCGCUGGUGUACCAGUUGUUCUGCCAAGGGCAUCGCUGGGUAGCUAUGUGCGGACGGGAUAAGUGCUGAAAGCAUCUAAGCAUGAAGCCCCCCUCAAGAUGAGAUUUCCCAUUCCGCAAGGAAGUAAGAUCCCUGAAAGAUGAUCAGGUUGAUAGGUCUGAGGUGGAAGUGUGGCGACACAUGGAGCUGACAGAUACUAAUCGAUCGAGGACUUAACCAA
rnacentral:rRNA from 1 species